AGUGAUGUGGCUCAGUGGGAGAGUGUGUGCCUAGCAUGCACAAGACCCUGGGUUCGGUCCCUAGCUCCACUA
rnacentral:tRNA from 1 species